rnacentral:lncRNA from 1 species
GGUGAGGGAUUCCUGUAUAAACAACCCCUGUGCCCUGCCCCAGAGGUGGCUGCAUCACAGCACUAGGGUGGGAUAUCUGUAUAAACAGCCCCUGUGCGCCACCACAGACACAAUGGGGUGGGGAACAGGCUGGGAGGCCUUUCCCCCCUAGGGGGUGCUGGUGUGUGGAGGGGUGAUUGCCUGCUUAUGGGGAUCCUACUGUGUUCCACAAUGUGUCUUGUCUUUUAUUUUGCUUUUUAUACACUCAGUUAUGCUGAAGCAUUAAGUAUUUAUUGUAAUUUUGGGCUCUUUUAAGGAGCGUUCAUGACAGCACUCUGGGCUCUGUUCCAGCUUGGAGACAGGAUCGGGAAGAGGGAAAAGCCAGAGAGCCUGGGGGCCAAGAAUAAUGGGUCCUGUGGGGGGAGAGGGAUUGUAGGCAGAGCUUUCUGGUCUGAAAGAGGACAGCGAUAACGCUGAUGAGACAGAAGAGCUCAGGACAUGAGACCAGGGCUUUGCCCCUCUAAGGGGUGCCAGCUCGGAUCCAUCCCAAGCACUGGCUGGCUCAAACUCUGGGCAGUGGGCCAGGGGCCUUUCCCUUCUGGGGGCGCUGGUCCCAGGUUACUUGCUGGGGGAGCAGGCAGGGCCCGGGUGGGCUUUUUCUUGCUGAGCUAGGAUUGUAUCUGGGUCACAUUUUUUUUCUUUUAAUGUAUAAGCCCAAAAUGCUUCUUCACUCUCACUGCUGUCAGGUGCCCAGCGGGCACUGGCACGCACGGGUCAUUUCUACCCGGCGUGUGCUCACUGCUCUCCUUCGUCUUCCAUGGAGCGUUGCGGGAAAAUGUUCCACACCAGGGCAAUAAAUGGGGAUCGCUUCAGGGUCCGAGGCCGGAAGAGACCGUUGUGAUCAUCUCAUCGGACCGCCUGCAUAGAGCAGGCCAGAACUGCCCCCAAAUAAUUCCUGGAGCAGAGCUUUCAGCAUGGGGCUGCAGGGAUAGACAGAGGGGUCUGUAUGGGGAUGGAGCGAGAGAUGCAAGGAUGGAGAAAGAGAAUCCCAGUGGGAAGAGUCCGUGGGAGCAGAGCCACAUGGAACAUCCUGGAGCAGGGAGGGG